CAGGGAGUAGUUUAAAUUAGAAUGUCAGCUUUGGGAGUUGAAGGUGAAGUUGUAACUUCUUCCCUGA
rnacentral:tRNA from 1 species